ensembl:lncRNA
CAUUGCCCUGUCACAACAGCCCGGUGACUGGGACUUGUUAAUGUGAUAGUUUCUCUCCCUGCUUUGUCUGUAACAGAGAACCUGCCACCUUGAGGAAGGGCUUCAGCUCCACUCCCAUCUUUAAAUCACACAGCCAGCGCCGCGGGGAUGAAACUAAGGAGCAAACCAAUAUUUGGCUGCCCAGAUGUACGUUGAAGGCCGGUUCAGCCUUCAGCAAGGAAAAACUUCUGUGCCGUGUCCAAAAUUUCAAGGCGCUGAAUGAGAAGUUCAUCUUCCUGGCACCCUGACAGCGAAUAUUGAUCACAUAACCCCGAGUGCAGGAACUAGGAGACUGCUCAUCCAGCUAACCGCGCCUCACCUGGAUGGUAGCAGCUGUUAGGAAAAAAUAUUGGUCUGUUGACCGUGUUAAAUGGAUGGCACCGCCUCUAAUACAAAUAUACUGUAGGGAAACAGGGAAGGGGAUGCUUCCUGACACCUGUCUUUAAUCUCUGGAUGCUCUGAGUCCCCAAGAUAAGAUUGCUUAGGAGACCCUCUGGAUGCCUAGCUGAUGAUAUUGACUACGUCUGAAAGAAGAAGAGUCGGAUACUUAAAAGACAUAAAGCAGGAAAAAAAAAUACAAUUUUCUAGGUUCUUUAAGUUGAAGACUGCAUAAGCAUAUUCCAGAGAGACUUUACUCUGCCUAAAAUUUGCUUCAAAGCUCUUCUCUUCUGAUUUACUUUAACUGGAGCUAUUUUCUCUCUCUCUGUUCUAG